AUCAUAACAAAUGCCUCAAUACUAAAAAUAACCACUGACCUCUCUGAUGUCGGACUUUACUUUGAAAAAUGUGAAGGUUGCAACUUAAGGGUCAGGAAACUGUCCGGGCCCUUCCUGUGCCAAUGACACCUCAAAAACACUUUAAGUUCCCGGAUUAAUUAAUGUAUGCAUUAAUGUGUGAUACAUACAUUAUGAACUGAUGCAUCAUUAACCUAUUCAUAUGUUUGAAAGGUACUGUGAUGCAGUUCUUUACUAUCACCACAUGGUGGCCCCCAACACCAGGAUAAUAAAUGACAAACAAAUCUAGCAGCAGCUCUCCUCCUGCAGACUUUUAGAUGAUACAGUUCACUGUUGUCUUUGCAGCUCAGUUAUACAGCUAGACAGUCAGAGCCGUCUGGGACAUGGUGUAGAACAGCGCUGGGAUCAGAUCAAGGCCACCAAAUGGUCACGUUAGAUUUGGUUUCAGGCUGAGGCUGCGUGACUGAAGUCUGGCUCAUUUCCACGAGUCCAACACAUGAAUCAUGCACCUGAUUGACAGACACCAGCACACCUGUGCACAACAAUUAUAAACCUAAGCAAAAUCAGACUGCCUUCAUACUGAUCUACUCAGCUGUCAAACAAUUACACAGUGAUACUAUAAACUAACUAAACUGAAACAGAAGAAUUAUGUGGACGUCUGAGCAUUGUAAACCUUCACUGCAUGUUCCAGGUGGAUUUGCAUACAUUUACUGCUAUAACAGUCUCCGCUCUCCUGUGAAGGAUUACUAACAGCCAGAUAGUACAGACUGGGAUUUCCUUCCAUUCAACCAGAGCAUCAGUGAGGUUGGGGGCUUGUGUUGAACAUUAAGCCAUCAGUCUCAGUUCAGCCCAAGGAGAUUGGACGCGGUUAAGAUCAGAUCUGUCAAGUUCAUCCAAAGGAAAGAGCAACAAAGUACACACAGCACACACAGUAGAAACACAAAAGCAAAACUUUAUACUUUUCACCUUACAGUCCACAAAACUGUUGCAGUGUUACUUUCCUCUAUCAGUGUGGGCACAUGUCUUUAGCUUUAUUUGACUCGUUGGCUCGGUGUAUGCCAUCUAUCUGCCUUAAUAAUAAAAAGUGCAUUCGAAUUUCCAUAAGAGCGAGUUAGUAAGUCCAAGUCUAUAUGAGGAUCAGGAUGCUGAAAUGCACUCAAAAUACAGCAAAAUACAGAAAUGAAUGUUUGAAUUUAUAUGCAGGCAUUCAGCCAUGGAGGACAAGUUUGACUUAAGUCUGGUGUAUGCUGGUCCAGCAGCUCGUUGUUCCUCACCUACACAUGGCUCGUUUGCAGAAAGCUGAGGACCAGGACAAGUGCAACUUUAUUUAACCUGGCAUCUUUAAUUUUCUGUUUGUCAUAAUUAAAAUGUUGGAGCGUUCAGCGCUUUUGGUUUUUUAUUUUUAUACUA
ensembl:lncRNA